UUAAUCUCUUUUUUCCGUGAAUAUCCUUUUUUACCUAUAACCGGCUAAUUGGAGGUGUUUAUUAUUUUUUUUUGAGAAAAUUAAUUAUUCUUUAGUCUUUACUGAUUUAUUGAAUGAACUCACUACUCCCAAAACUUGCUUCUUCUCUCUCCUUCAUGCUCUACACCAUUAACUCAGGAAAUCAUUGCCCCAAGCUUCGAAGACAGCAAUUGAAGAAGACAACAAUACUCAAGCUUAAUCAAGCUACAUAACCGCAUACGAUGGCUAAUCUUAGUGAUUCAACUACAUUGAAGUUUUGGUAUGAUGGGGUAUUUAAAAAUGGAGUUGUGGGGUUAGAGUAUCUUUGUGGGAUGUGUAAAACCAUCUCUUUAGACCCAGAUAAGUUGUCUUUUUUGAGUUAAAAGGAACUGUAAAGGAAGAUUUUGGGGUAGAUUAUGAGUUUUCUCUUUGGUAUCAUCUAACUAAUGCUUUAAGCUUUGAGGAAGGAUUAAAAAGGCUUACUGAUGAUAUUUGUAUGGGGGAAAUGUCUAAGAUUGCUGUUGAAAAUAGAGCAUUAUCUGUAUAUGUAAUUAAUGAUAAGGAUGAUGCGAAGUUGAUUCUAGAAAUAUCGAAAAAUAUUAGUAAAAGCAGUAAAGUUUGGUAUACUGUUGUGAAUAGAAAAAAGUUAACCCCCAAGAGAGCAUCUAAGGCAAAAGAUUCCCUUAGUGAAAGCUCUAGUCCCCACAACAUCAAUAUAAAACCAAACAACCCACCCCAAAGUGACAUAUUUGUUGAAGUGGGAAACCAGUACAAACCUAUUCACACCACAAACUUAUCUUCAAAAUCAGAUCUAGUCACUGAAUCUAAAUUUAACCAACUUCAACAUGAUUUUCUGAAGAUGAGCUAAAGCUUGGUAAUAGUGUUAAGGUAAGUGAAGAAGAUGGAUCUGAGGAGGAUGAUUCACAAGAUGUUGAUUAUGAGUUAUCACUUGAUGAGGAAGGUGAGGAUGAGAUAUCAGAAGAGCUUAUCCAAAGUCAAGAUGUUGAUCAUGAGUUAUCACAUGAUGAGGAAGGUGAGUGUAAUAAAACUGAGGUGUUCUCUGAAUAUGAUAACAGUGAUGAUGAAGUUGAUGAUGCUACUGUAGUUCAUGGUAGGACUGAUUUUAGGAGGUUCAAAUGGAUUGUUGGACAAGUUUUUGGCAUCCCAGUUGAAUUUAAGGAGGUAAUGAAAUAUGCAGUUCAUUAGGGAAGAAAUGUGAAGUUUUGUUUGAGUGGCAAGGCUAGAUUGAAUAAGCUUGGUAUAAGAUGUAUUGAAGGUUGUCCCUUCAAGCUCUAUGCUAGUUGGGAUAAAACACGAGCUUCCUUUGUUGUCAAGAAAGUUAAUGAUGUACACACUUGUCAAAGAAAUAUGGAUUCAAAUUUUCAAUUCAAAGCUUCUUGGUGUGCAGAUCAGUUAUCAGUUACUUGAUUUAUUCAAGUCAAUGCCACACAUUCCUUCUGCAGAACUAGUUGAUAUUGUUAGGAAACAAUUUCAAAUGAUCAUUAGUAGGGGAUUUGCUUACAAGAUUAAGUAUGUUGCACAUAAGAGGUUACAUGGAUCCAUGAAACAACAUUAUCUUAAGCGCAUGAGCUAUGUCGGGGUUUUAGAACAAAGUAACCCUAAUAGCCACUUUGGUGUUGUUACUGAUGUAAGCACAAAUCCACCCACAUUUCAGAGACUCUUUGUUUGCUUUGAAGGGGUCAAAGAUGGUUGGGUAGGUAGGUGUAAGAAAAUAUUAUGCAUUAGUGGUUGUUUUCUAAAAACAUUCUUGGGAGAACUGCUAUUAAGUACAGUUGGGAGAGACCCUAAUGAACAAAUGUAUCCAUUGGCUUAGGCUGUUGUUGAGGGAGAAAACAAUGAGUCAUGGCAAUGGUUCAUUUCUAAAUUGAAAAAAUGCGUACCUCAUGAUGAUAGAAAAGAAUGGAUAGUUAUUUCAGAUGAACACCAGAGCAUUUUGAGGGCUGUCCAACUUGAGCUUCCAAAAGCAGAACAUCAGCAUUGUGCUAGGCACAUCUACGCAAAUUGGAACAAGUCAUUCAAAGGGGAAGAGAUGAAAUUAAUGUUUUGGAGAUGUGUUAAAGCAUACAACUUGGCAGAUUUUGAGGAAGCAAUUAAUGAGAUGGAGAAUGUAAAUCCGGUUGUUGUUGAUGCCUUCAAGAAAUGUGGUCCACAAUUGUUUUGUAGGUCUUUUGUCAAACUAGAAGGAAAGUGUGAUGUUAUUUUGAGCAAUAUGGCCGAAACUUUCAACUACAUUAUGAAUGCAAGAUCACAUCACUUAUUAGAUAUGCUUGAAGAAAUAAGAUCAAUGCUAAUGAGAGGAGGGCUAGUAAAAAGGAAGAGGCAUUGAUAAAGUGGAAGGGUUUGUUAUGUCCAAAAGUACAAAUAUGGUGUUGCAUCCAUUUUUUACUUGCAUAAAGAGAUUGAGUCUUACGUUGAUAAGUGCUAUGCUAAAGAGACUUAUUAGAGAGCCUAUGAAGGAAACAUCAAUCCUUGCGUUGGGGAGAGACAUUGGCCAAAAAUUGACAAACCUAUUGAUUCUCCUCCAAUAAAGAUUGGUCCUGGUAGACCACGGAAAAACAGAGUCAAGAGUCCGCAUGAAGAUCCUAAAAACCAGGGAAGCUCUCAAGACAUGACCUUCAAAUGACAUAUGGCAUUUGCAAUAAGGUUGGACAUAACAAAAGGAAGUGUCCGGAGAAGGAUAAAGCAGUUGAGCAACCACCUCCAUUGAAGAGAAGUAGAGGAAGACCAAAAAAGAUUGUUGAUGUAGUAACCACUAAACCAAAGUUAUCCCAUCACAACAUGUCUGCACAACCUUGUUCUUUAGGCAAAGGCAAUAGGAUAAUUAGAAUAGGAGAAGGGAGUAGAGGGGGUAAGACCGGAAGUGCAAGCCGAAGGAGUGGUGUAACUAUUGCUCAAAGGGGAAAGCCAAAGAAGAACCCUCCUGAAAUAGUAUCAACCCAAGCAUCGAUAAAAGAAGAAUUAAUGCUGCAAGACUUAGUGUCAUUUUGAUUAUUAUGGUGUAAUUUAUGGCUUAGAACAUUGUUCAAGCAUUUUGCGUUUUGGAAAACAAUUUAGUAGUUGUAGAUGUAAUUUAUGCUUAUCUAUGUAUGUAAUGGUAACAUUUUGGCUAUAACAUGUAUAUGAUUGAAGCUAAAAAUCUUGAUAAGAAGAAACCUUG